rnacentral:rRNA from 1 species
UACGUAGGGACCAAGCGUUGUUCGGAUUUACUGGGCGUAAAGGGCGCGUAGGCGGCUUAACAAGUCACUUGUGAAAUCUCCGGGCUUAACUCGGAACGGCCAAGUGAAACUGUCAAGCUAGAGUGCAGAAGGGGCAAUCGGAAUUCUUGGUAUAGCGGUGAAAUGCGUAGAUAUCGUUUGGAACGCCAAAGGUGAAGACAGGCGACUGGGGAUGUGCUGACGCUGAGACACGAAAGCCAGGGGAGCAAACGGG